rnacentral:rRNA from 1 species
UCAGAGACAGGUGCUGCAUGGCUGUCGUCAGCUCGUGUCGUGAGAUGUUGGGUUAAGUCCGCUAACGAGCGCAACCCUCGUCGUAUGUUAUAUGUGUCAUACGAGACUGCCGGUAAAAGCCGGAGGAAGGUGAGGAUGAUGUCAAGUCAGCAUGACCUUUAUAUCCAGGGCUACACACACGCUACAAUGGUCUGUACAAUGGGUAGCCAAGCCGCGAGGCGGAGCCAAUCCUGAAAGCAGGCCUCAGUUCAGAUUGCAGUCUGCAACUCGACUGCAUGAAGCCGGAGUUGCUAGUAGCCGCAGGUCAGCAAUACUGCGGUGAAUACGUUCCCGGGUCUU